GUCCAUGCCGUAAACGUUGGGAACUAGAUGUGGGGGCCAUUCCACGGUCUCCGUGUCGCAGCUAACGCAUUAAGUUCCCCGCCUGGGGAGUACGGCCGCAAGGCUAAAACUCAAAGGAAUUGACGGGGGCCCGCACAAGCGGCGGAGCAUGCGGAUUAAUUCGAUGCAACGCGAAGAACCUUACCAAGGCUUGACAUAUACCGGAAACGUCCAGAGAUGGUCGCCCCGCAAGGUCGGUAUACAGGUGGUGCAUGGUUGUCGU
rnacentral:rRNA from 1 species